AUUUUUGUAGUGAAAAUUCAAAAGCAAAAGUUUGAGAUAUAUUCUAGGAGUUUGUCAAGCAAAUUACAAUUUUCGUAUCUCCUGCACCACAAAAACUCACAGAGAUAUGAAUCAACCAUAGAAAGGAAGGUCUAGCAACAUUCUUUAUUCC